CCGCCGCCAUCAGAUCAAGCCCCCUACGCCGUGGAUCCAGCACGCCGCCGCCAUUCAUGUCGCGGCAUGGAGACGAUGAGGGAUUUCGAGGAUUUUUUUUUCUGCGAUUUCUUCUUGUGCUUUUCUUCUGUGAUUUUUUUUGCGACUUACUGUUGGUGGCGGGUCGGGUAAAAAUACCCGCGGGUUACCCGUACCCGUGACGGGUGGCGGGUAUGGUUAAAUUUCAUACCCGACCAUGAGUACGGGUACGGGUAGCGGUUGAGGGUCGGAUCGUCGGGUAUGGUAGAGCUGUACCCGUACCCGAACCCAUCGGGUGCCAUCAGAAAACCAGAGGGUCCCACAUGUCGGCCUUAGUGGCAUCAAAAGGCUCGGGGUUUGUGGCCUAACGGUUUGGUUUGCACCAGUUCAGGCCAUUGUGGUGGCAUCUUUUCGACCUAUUGUGGUGCCAUUUUUUGAAAGAUAAAAAUUGUUGUGGCAAUUUCAAGUUCGUUACGAUUGCAUGUAGGCCUGGACGAAAAGAUCGAAAUGCGACAAUCUUAUUAAACGCUCGCUAACUCAGUUC
rnacentral:lncRNA from 1 species